rnacentral:lncRNA from 1 species
CGAACAACUCGUUGACCCAACCAACUGAUCUAAAUAACAGUUUUGCAAGUCAUAGCGAAAGAUCGCAAAAAAAAAAAAAAAAAAAGAUGUGAUACUUCUUAGUACAACUACUCCAAAACUCUGUCGCAAUCUGUGUUUUAAUAUGCGUUAAUAAUUAGAUUAAUGAUCAAUCCUGAUCAGGAAAGACAGAAGAGGUAUCCCGCUCGAAAAGAAUGUAAAGAUGUAGUGAGUAAUUAGGAGAGGGAGUGGGCUGUGCUUUGCUGUACGGGAACAACGCUGGACAUGUUUCUAUCUUAUUCAACCUUCUCAUCUAUGCAUAAUCGCUAUCUUUAAUGCAGCAAAACAAAAUGAUUUGAACAGUAUAUAUAUUUGUGUGUGUAUGUGUGUGUGAAUAACUUAAAAGACUAGAAAAAUAUCCAGAAAUUCAUUCUGGGCGAAAACCAAAUGGAAAAGUUGGUGCUAAGUUACUAAUGUAGGGGAACCAAAAAGUGGUAAUGAAUAUUUACUUUGUCUCUCUCUCUCUUUUACUCUUUUACUUGUUUCAGCCAUCCGGCUGAGGCCAUGCUGGGGCACCUUGAAGUUAUCACAUCAUUCACUGUUUAAAUUACACCCAUGCCAAAUAAAUAAAUGAAUUUAAUCUGGUAUUGUUAUAGUUUAUGUUUGUAAAAUAAAUUCACAAUGCGAAGUUUUGCUUAAUUAAGAAAAGUUAUAACCAUAAUAUCGAUUUUCUGCAGAAACACAUUAAUGGUCGGAUCACUGAAAAUUUUAAUUUGUUUUCUCAUAUGACUUUUCUUUUUAUUAAUUAUUCAUUUUGAAUGAAAUAUAAUUAUUUGGUGUCAAAAUAAUCCCUCUGGAACCUUGUCACUGACAAGGUUCCAGAGGGAUUCAGUGGAACCUUGUCAGUGACCAGGUUGCAAUUGGUAUGGUGAAAAGUGCUUAAUCCUUUAGCAUUUAAACCAGCCAUGAAUGAAAUAUAAGACAAGAAAGGGCUGUUGAUUAAUGCCAGAUAAAUUUACAAAAUCAACCUCUGAUCAAAACCAUUAUGGCUACAACCAUUAUUACUAUUGUGUGUGUGUGUGUGUAUAAUCAACCUUUUAAUGUCUACUUUUCUAUGGAUGGAAUUUGUUGAGAUUGAUAUUUUUUGUUGCCAACCCUCAGCUAUUUCCAAGUAAGGUAAUAUUUCCUCAUGACGAGAUGUGUUUCCACGGAAGAUUGAAAACAAAGGAGACCAUUUGCAUGAUGUUUACAACCAUCAUGCAAGGUGACAGAAACAUGCCCCCACCCCCUGCCAUACAUAUACAUUCACAUAUUUACAUCUGUAUAUAUGUAGUGAGCUUCUUUCUGUUUCAGUCUAUCAAAUUCAUUCACAAGGCAUUGGUUGGCCUGGCGCUAUGGUAGAAGACACUUGCCCAUGCUGUAAGGUAAGAAGUUUGCUUCCCAACCACAUGAUUCCAGGUUCAGUCCCAUUGCAUGGUACAUAGGGCAAGUUUCUUCUACUAUAACCAUGUGGUUGGGAAAUGUCUUCUACUAUAACCGUCUGAUUGGAAGUAUCAGGACCUGUCAGUGGACUCUCUACCAGCCUGUGGUGUUUGAGACAUUUGGAGGAGCUGGGCCGCUAACAGUGAAGUUCUCAUCACUAUUGGCAGCUCUCCUUACCAGGGUGUCAGGUGAUGCCCAUGAGGUUGCUUGGCUGUUCCAAUGUCUUACUGAGGUGUCAGGUGAUGCCUGUGUGGGUACUUGGCUGUUCCAAUGCCUUAGCCUUGCCACUGCUCAUAAUGCUGCAAGUGUGUUGGCUAGCUUCAGUAGGUUCUGUUGAAUCUUGUUGCAUGUGACCAAUAGAGACACUUGGUGUUGCAUUGAUGUUUUUCCUGUUUUUCUUUUGUAAAAUAUAUCCCUUUUCACUGAAUUAUUGCAAAUUGUAACAAACAGAAUUUAUUUUGAUAAAAAGAAAAAAAACCUAUUUUGUGCAUGCAUUUUAUGAGAGGAAUUAUUUUAUAAACACAAGCUACAUACAACUUUACAAAAAAAUUAUAUAUCUUUCUGAGCAUCUUUGUCUGGAAGUACUGCUAAAGACUAUGUUUUGUUGAAAAAGGUUAAUAAGAUUAAAAUAUAUCAAGAACUGUCCCUGUACUGUUACAAUCAGACUUUUAGUGGUGCCGGUCAGUAACUUAGUGUGAGUGUUCUGUGAUUUAAUGUAAGAAGAGUGUUCAUGAGAGAGUCUGUUCCAGUGUACUUUUAAUAAGCGUAUAUAAGGAAUGUAAGAAGGUAGUUCAUUUACAACGAAACAUUGCCAACUUUAUCUAAAUAAAACAAAUGCUGGCUAGUUGUAGCACUGAUUAAUCUGCAUGUAUAUGCGAAUCAUCUACAUGUGCAUGCGAGAUGGGAAAAAUCUCACAACUUACUUUUAGCAUAGGAGGGUUAUGUGGAAGCCAUUGUAUGCUAAUGGGAACAAGAAGGUACCACUCAUUUUGAGGCAGAGUUGUAGCUAAUAUCAUUCACAUGAGUUGCAUGAAGUUGGUGGUGAACACAAAAAUUGUUGCAUGUCAAAGAAAGAGAUGUUACUUCUAGGCUGUCUAUUCACCAACUAGUUUGAAACUUCUGCUUCAUUGCUAAAGCAGAUCACUGCUGUUUGUAUUCCUAUGCAUCCUGCCUUGAUUGGCUGGAAUCUGCCACAGCACAACUGAACUAUGCAAUAAUGACAAAUAGAUCUUUCUUGACUCAUUCCCCAUUGUAUUAUUUACUUUCUGUCUUAAUGAAGGCUUGUGGGUUGUCUCCUUUACUCGACAUUACCUUAAGUCAAUAAUUUUUUUUUUUCCUGAGGUUGCCAGAUGAUAGAAUUGUUAACAUGCUGGGCAAAAUGCUUUGCAGCAUUUUGUCCAUCUUCACGUUCUGAGUUCAAAUUUGACUGAAGUCAACUAAGUACCAGUUCAGCACUAUGGGUGAUGUAAUUGACUUACCCACCACCCAACCUCAAGAAAUUGCUGACUUUGGGUCAAAAUUUGAAGCCAAUAAUUUUGUUCCUUAGAAUGAGGAUAAUCUUAACUAUAAUAAAAAUUUCUGCCUUCACAACAUUAAGCAUUCUUGCACUGAUCUCACCAUUUGUUCUUUCACUGGAAGGAUGGUAUGGUGAGUUGGGAGAGAUAAACUGCCAUCCUCGUCACACUAGCAGUGUAACAUAGAGAGAGAGAAAGCUGAGUGAUAUGUGUAUCACAUCUCAUCUUCCUAACACCCAUCUUAUCAUCACUUCUCUAACAAGGGCAUAAUUUAGCUGCUGUAAUCAUAUGACAGCAGAAUCUACUCAUACUUCUUCUUGGUGCUAUUAGUUACCUCUCCCUGUAACCACUUUCUUUAACAUCUGUCCCACAUUCAGUUUUCCACUACAAAUCCCUUUCUAUACUUUCAGGUAUCUCUCCCUCUCCUCUGAACUACUUCUUACCUACCCUCAUAUCUGUUGUCAGUGCUCCUACCUUUAUUCCUUACUCACUCCAGUCACCACUAUGUAUCUCUGAUCUCCAUUGCUGUCCCUGUACAUUUCUCUCUCACUCUCCCUUCCUAUUUUCUGGUCUAUCUACAGGAUUAUUAUACAGCUGCCCUCCACCCUUCCUGUAUUGCCACUUAUCUCUUUCCUGAGUUUUUUGUUUUUACUUUAUUCUACACACUGAUAUUUAUCAUCAGCCACACUUCCACCCUUAUACAUCAUUCAUUAUAUUAAACUCUACCCCAAUCCUUACCCAUCUGUCAUUCACCCUCAACUUUCCAUCCUCAGUCUGUAUUCUGUCUUAUACUUACCUUCUUGUACCUUGACAGUAUGCUCCAAAAUCUCAUCACCAACUUCUGUAACUUCUUUCAGUUACUCCCACCAACUCCUAUAUAAUGUGAAGUAACCAUAUAUCUCCUUUAUGGCAAGGCAUCUCUUCCUUUACCAUACUUUAGCUUCUCAAUGCCACAUCCUCUCAAGGUUUCUUCUUUUACUUGUAAGUUACUUCAUAACUUUCACUUAUGCUGGUGUCAUAAAAAAAAAAGCACUGAAGACACUGUAAAGUGGUUGGCAUUAAGAAGAGAUUCCAACCAAAGAAAUCAUACCAAGCAGACACUGGAGCUCAGUGCAGUCCUCUGGUUUGUUGGAUUCUAUCAAAUCAUCCAACAUAUGCUGGUAUGAAGGAUAGAUAUUGAAAGAUGAUGAUGAUGACAUACAUAUCUGUUUAGUGUUAAUUAUUGGAAAAUAAAGUACUCAAUACCAUAGUAGAGAUUAAUAAUAUCCUUUAUUUUGGUUGAGUCAGUCUCUUGCUACUCCGAGUUUCACAAGAUCUUUGACAAGACUACUGUAGAUUUUACUUGUGGAAUGAUUUCAACUAAAUUCUACAAAUAUAAACAAACACAACAUAGAAGGCAACGCGUCAACCUUUCAAAACACACAAAAAUUGUUAACUUCACUUAAACACUUAUUAUUUGCUGUCAAGAUUUUCAUCACACCAACUGCAACCUGGUCACUGACAAGAUUCCACAGGGAUUCAGUGAAACCUUAUCAGUGACCAAGUUGCAAUUGGUAUGGUGAAAAUUAACACUAAAUAAGUGCUUAACCCUUCAGCAUUUAAACCAGCCAUAUCUGGCCGAAAUAUUCAACCUGUAUUACAAGAUGCGCCAUAAAUAAUUCUCAAUUAUUUAAAUAAGACUAUUUUAUUAAAUUUAGUUGAAAUUGCACAAAAAUAAUUAAAAUAUGCUCCUUGACAUUCAGUUGUUCAUGUACAUUCAGUGAGUAAAACAUUUCAACAUGGCAGCUAAUGAGUGAAGUGAGAUUGUAGCUCUGAAAAAAGUAGGACAUAGCACCAAAGACGUGGCUUCAAAGGUUGUUAUUGAUCCCAAAAUAAGUCUAUAAUGUCAUGAAAUGCUCAGUAAGACAGGUUCAAUGAACAGCAAGACCAUUCCUGGCUGAAAAUGAUCCGUAAGGAUAAAACAAUUGGUGAAUGUCAACUGAAAGAGGGUGUCAUGAAUUCCACAGCAGAGUAUGAUGCAAAUGGCUAAAAGUCUCAAUAUCUCCCAGACGGUUUAUGCAUGAAGACUUAAAUUGUAAGUCAUUAAAAUUGCAUAAAUUUCAAUCCACUAGAUAUUAAAGACUUUUAGUUCUUUAACACGCUAUUAAUAAUUUUCAGUUAAAUUUUUAUUAAAUAAUCUUCUAAGUGUGUGCAUUGUCUUCCACUUUUUUACUACCCCCACCAUGUUCAAUACUAUUUUGUCUUUCUAUUUUCCAUCUCUAGUUCUGACUUCUGUUUUUCCACCUUGUACUUUAUUUUUUUCAUUGUCCUCCUUUCCUGAUAUCAUUCUUUCAUUUCCAUUCCUGCCUCAUUAGCCUUGCAGCAAAAAAGACGAUACCACUAAUUCUCAGACAAAGAGCCUGGAAUGAUACAUUCUUCAUACCUCAUAACUACUGAAUUUAAUAGACUCUCCUGUGAACUUCAAUGUUUUUAAAUGAAACACACAAUGCUUCAAAGUGAGCAUAUUUCAGUUGAAGAAAAUUGAAAGUACUUAUUUUCUAAAAUGUUUUUGUAAUGGCUUGAGACUGAAGUUUUCAUUCAAAAUAUGUCCAUAAUCAUUCUUUGAAACAUCUGCCUGUGUAUUCUUCUAUUCUUUAUCCUAUAAAAUGCACAUUAAAAAUGGAACUUCCUCAACCAAACAUUUGUGCACAAGUAUUAAAACCAUAUUAACUUUUUGCCUCAUGGCUUGAUCGAUAA